CUAGCCGUAAACGAUGGGUACUAGGUGUGGGAGGUAUCGACCCCUUCCGUGCCGGAGUUAACGCAAUAAGUACCCCGCCUGGGGACUACGAUCGCAAGAUUGAAACUCAAAGGAAUUGACGGGGGCCCGCACAAGCGGCGGAGCAUGCGGAUUAAUUCGAUGCAACGCGAAGAACCUUACCAAGGCUUGACAUAUAGAGGAAACGGCCAGAGAUGGUCGCCCCGCAAGGUCUCUAUACAGGUGG
rnacentral:rRNA from 1 species